rnacentral:rRNA from 1 species
UACGUAGGGGGCAAGCGUUGUCCGGAUUUAUUGGGCGUAAAGAGCGUGUAGGCGGCCUGACAGGUCUGCUGUGAAAACUCGAGGCUCAACCUCGAGAUGUCGGCGGAAACCGUCUGGCUAGAGUCCGGAAGAGGAGAGUGGAAUUCCUGGUGUAGCGGUGAAAUGCGCAGAUAUCAGGAAGAACACCUAUGCGAAGGCAGCUCUCUGGGACGGUACUGACGCUGAGACGCGAAAGCGUGGGGAGCGAACAGG